rfam:Moniliophthora roreri MCA 2997 sctg_0041_0004, whole genome shotgun sequence.
GCCCAAGUAGCGCAAUGGUAGUGCGUUGCUUUCCUAUCACCGUUGGGUUCUAUAACAAGGCAAAGGUUGUGGGUUCGAUCCCCAUCUUGGGUU